rnacentral:misc_RNA from 1 species
UCAAACUUGGUCAUUUAGAGGAAGUACAAGUCGUAACAAGGUUUCCGUAGGUGAACCUGCGGAAGGAUCAUUAACAAAUCAAUGGAGGGUGGUGGUGGUGGUGUGCCGUGUGUGUAUGCUUAUGGUGUACUAUACACGGUGUACUUGCUACUACUACCACAUAUACCCGCUCCUGAGCAGUGAAAUGCUGCCAGGUCGGUGUGCCUUUAGUGUGUGGGGUGUUCUGUGUAGAGGUGUAGUAAUGGGCAGUGAUGCAUAUUACUACUACUACUACUGGAUGCCCCCCACUGGGCCACAUAGACGCUUUUCUUGUUUGACAGAGUUUUUGUAUGACACAAAAUUGACAACAACUUUUAACAAUGGAUCUCUUGGCUCUUGCAUCGAUGAAGAACGCAGC